GCGCAGUAACGGGGUGUCGGUAGUGGUAACGGCGUUAUAGUGACAGUCACAGUAAUUAGUUAGAUUAAUCGUUACUGAAAAAAGUAACGGCGUUAGUAACGCCGUUUAUUUCAACGCCGUUAUUCCCAUCACUGAAAAUAACCCACAGAUUGAUCA